rnacentral:rRNA from 1 species
UACGAAGGGUGCAAGCGUUAAUCGGAAUUAUUGGGCGUAAAGAGCGUGUAGGCGGUUCGGUAAGUCUGUCGUGAAAUCCUGGGGCUCAACCUCGGGCGUGCGAUGGAUACUGCCGGGCUAGAGGGUGGUAGAGGCGAGUGGAAUUCCCGGUGUAGCGGUGAAAUGCGUAGAUAUUGGGAGGAACGCCAGUGGCGAAGGCGGCUCACUGGACCGGAACUGACGCUGAGGCGCGAAAGCGUGGGGAGCAAACGGG